CAACCUGCCUGUAAGACUGGGAUAACUUCGGGAAACCGAAGCUAAUACCGGAUAGGAUCUUCUCCUUCAUGGGAGAUGAUUGAAAGAUGGUUUCGGCUAUCACUUACAGAUGGGCCCGCGGUGCAUUAGCUAGUUGGUGAGGUAACGGCUCACCAAGGCAACGAUGCAUAGCCGACCUGAGAGGGUGAUCGGCCACACUGGGACUGAGACACGGCCCAGACUCCUACGGGAGGCAGCAGUAGGGAAUCUUCCGCAAUGGACGAAAGUCUGACGGAGCAACGCCGCGUGAGUGAUGAAGGCUUUCGGGUCGUAAAACUCUGUUGUUAGGGAAGAACAAGUACAAGAGUAACUGCUUGUACCUUGACGGUACCUAACCAGAAAGCCACGGCUAACUACGUGCCAGCAGCCGCGGUAAUACGUAGGUGGCAAGCGUUAUCCGGAAUUAUUGGGCGUAAAGCGCGCGCAGGCGGUUUCUUAAGUCUGAUGUGAAAGCCCACGGCUCAACCGUGGAGGGUCAUUGGAAACUGGGGAACUUGAGUGCAGAAGAGAAAAGCGGAAUUCCACGUGUAGCGGUGAAAUGCGUAGAGAUGUGGAGGAACACCAGUGGCGAAGGCGGC
rnacentral:rRNA from 1 species